rnacentral:rRNA from 1 species
GACGAACGCUGGCGGCGUGCUUAACACAUGCAAGUCGAACGAUGAAGCCGGAGCUUGCUCUGGUGGAUUAGUGGCGAACGGGUGAGUAACACGUGAGUAACCUGCCCUUGACUCUGGGAUAAGCGUUGGAAACGACGUCUAAUACCGGAUACGAGCUGGGACCGCAUGGUCACCAGCUGGAAAGAAUUUCGGUGAAGGAUGGACUCGCGGCCUAUCAGUUAGUUGGUGAGGUAACGGCUCACCAAGACGACGACGGGUAGCCGGCCUGAGAGGGUGACCGGCCACACUGGGACUGAGACACGGCCCAGACUCCUACGGGAGGCAGCAGUGGGGAAUAUUGCACAAUGGGCGCAAGCCUGAUGCAGCAACGCCGCGUGAGGGACGACGGCCUUCGGGUUGUAAACCUCUUUUAGCAGGGAAGAAGCGAAAGUGACGGUACCUGCAGAAAAAGUACCGGCUAACUACGUGCCAGCCGCCGCCGUAACAC